AGCACCCGGGGGGCGCGGGGACUGGUCCGUACUGGUCUGUACUGGGAGGACCCGUUUGUGCAAUGAGAUCCCAGCCGGGGCGCCCUACUGGUCCGUACUGGUCCAUACUGGGAGGACACAAGGCCACGUGGAUGAAGAGAUCCCAGGUGAGAUGCUGGACUGGUCCGGACUGGUCCAUACUGGGAGGACGCAAGGCCACGCGGGUGAAGAAAUCCUGGGCACGAUGCUGGACUGGUCCAUACUGGUCCGUACUGGGAGGACGCAAGGCCACGCGGGUGAAGAGUCCCCAGUUGGGUGCUGUACUGGUCCGUACUGGUUGGCGCUGGGAUGGCUCCGGCCGUGCCAAUGCAGCGAUCCUAGUUGGGAUCUCAUACUGGUCCAUACUGGUCCAUACUGGUCUGACUCCAGGCGCUGCGUGCGCAGGGCUCCCAGUUGCAUCCGAGCCCGUUUCCCAGUCCAAACUGGUCCGGCCCGGGGCGAUGAAGGCGCAGGAGUUCCCAGCUGGGCUGCUGUAGUGCUUCGUACUGGUUUAUACUGGGGUGUCCGCAGGGGAGGCACUGGGUCGUACUGGGCCAUAUUGGGCUGUACCAGGCCAUACUGGGCCAUACUGGGCCAUAUUGGGGUGUACUGGCCAUAUUGGGCUAUACUAGGCUGUACUGGGAUAUAUUGGACUGUACUGGGCCAUACUGAGCCAUACUUGGCCAUAUUGGGCCAUACUGGGCCGUACUGGGCUAUACAGGGCCACACAGGGACAUACUGUGCUAUACCGGGCUAUACUGGGCCAUAUUGGGCUGUACUGGGGCACAUUAGGCUGUACUGGGGCAUACUGGGCCAUACAGGGUCAUAUUGGGCUGUACUGGGCCAUUCUGGGCUAUAUUGGGCUGUACUGGGCCAUACUG
rnacentral:lncRNA from 1 species